rnacentral:rRNA from 1 species
GGUUUAAUUCGAAGCAACGCGAAGAACCUUACCAAGUCUUGACAUCCUUCUGACCGGACAGUAAUGUGUCCUUUCCUUCGGGACAGAAGAGACAGGUGGUGCAUGGUUGUCGUCAGCUCGUGUCGUGAGAUGUUGGGUUAAGUCCCGCAACGAGCGCAACCCUUAUCCCCAGUAGCCAGCGGUUCGGCCGGGCACUCUGAGGAGACUGCCAGGGAUAACCUGGA